GACGAACGCUGGCGGCGUGCUUAACACAUGCAAGUCGAACGGAAAGGCCCUGCUUGCAGGGUACUCGAGUGGCGAACGGGUGAGUAACACGUGGGUGAUCUGCCCUGCACUUCGGGAUAAGCCUGGGAAACUGGGUCUAAUACCGGAUAUGACCUUCCAUGUAGUGUGGGGGGUGGAAAGAUUUAUCGGUGUGGGAUGAGCCCGCGGCCUAUCAGCUUGUUGGUGGGGUAAUGGCCUACCAAGGCGUCGACGGGUAGCCGGCCUGAGAGGGUGGACGGCCACAUUGGGACUGAGAUACGGCCCAGACUCCUACGGGAGGCAGCAGUGGGGCAUAUUGCACAAUGGGCGGAAGCCUGAUGCAGCGACGCCGCGUGGGGGAUGACGGCCUUCGGGUUGUAAACCUCUUUCGACAGGGACGAAGCUUCGGUGACGGUACCUGUAUAAGAAGCACCGGCUAACUACGUG
rnacentral:rRNA from 1 species